rnacentral:rRNA from 1 species
GAUGAACGCUGGCGGCGUGCCUAAUACAUGCAAGUCGAGCGAAUGGAUUAAGAGCUUGCUCUUAUGAAGUUAGCGGCGGACGGGUGAGUAACACGUGGGUAACCUGCCCAUAAGACUGGGAUAACUCCGGGAAACCGGGGCUAAUACCGGAUAACAUUUUGAACCGCAUGGUUCGAAAUUGAAAGGCGGCUUCGGCUGUCACUUAUGGAUGGACCCGCGUCGCAUUAGCUAGUUGGUGAGGUAACGGCUCACCAAGGCAACGAGGCGUAAGCGAGAUGGGAGGGGGAUGGGCCAAACUGGGACUAGGACAAGGCCCAGACUCCUACGGGAGGCAGCAGUAGGGGAUCUUCCGCAAUGGACGAAAGUCUGACGGAGCAACGCCGCGUGAGUGAUGAAGGCUUUCGGGUCGUAAAACUCUGUUGUUAGGGAAGAACAAGUGCUAGUUGAAUAAGCUGGCACCUUGACGGUACCUAACCAGAAAGCCACGGCUAACUACGUGCCAGCCGCCGCGGUAA